UUUGUGAAGGGUUUGGUAUUAUUAGAUAAAGAACCAAUAUUUUUGGUGACUCAUAAUAACUUUACGGAUCACAUUAUGUGACAUAUCAUUCAAGUUUCUGACCUAUCAGCUUUAGACGGUAGGGUAUUGGCCUACCGUGGCUAUGACGGGUAACGGGGAAUUAGGGUUCGAUUCCGGAGAGGGAGCCUGAGAAACGGGUACCACAUUUAAGGAAGGCAGCAGGCGCGCAAAUUACCCAAUCCUAAUACAGGGAGGUAGUGACAAGAAAUAACAAUACAGAACCUUACGGUUUUGUAAUUGGAAUGAGUUAAGUAUAAACCCCUUAACAAGUAUCAAUUGGAGGGCAAGUUUGGUGCCAGCAGCCGCGGUAAUUCCAGCUCCAAUAGCGUAUAUUAAAGUUGUUGCAGUUAAAAAGCUCGUAGUUAAUCUUCUGUUAAUUUUUAUAUAUAAUAUUUCGAUAUUUAUAUAAUAUUAACAUAAUUCAUAUUACUUUUUAGUAUAUGAAACUUUACUUUGAGAAAAUUAGAGUGCUUAAAGCAGGCUAUUGCCUUGAAUACUCCAGCAUGGAAUAAUAUUAAGGAUUUUUAUUCUUCUUAUUGGUUCUAGAAUAAAAAUGAUGAUUAAUAGGAACAGUUGGGGGCAUUUGUAUUUAACAGUCAGAGGUGAAAUUCUUAGAUUUGUUAAAGACAAACUACUGCGAAAGCAUUUGCCAAGGAUGUUUUCAUUAAUCAAGAACGAAAGUUAGGGGAUCGAAGACGAUC
rnacentral:rRNA from 1 species